CCUACGGGGGGCAGCAGUGGGGAAUAUUGCACAAUGGGGGAAACCCUGAUGCAGCGACGCCGCGUGAGGGAUGAAGUAUUUCGGAAUGUAAAGCUCUAUCAGCAGGGAAGAAAAUGACGGUAGCUGACUAAGAAGCCCCGGCUAACUCCGUGCCAGCAGCCGCGGUAAUACGUAGGGUGCAAGCGUUAUCCGGAUUUACUGGGUGGAAAGGGAGCGUAGACGGCCAGGCAAGUCAGACGUGAAAGCCCAGGGCUCAACGCUGGGACUGCUUUUGAAACUGCCGGGCUGGAGUGCAGGAGAGGUAAGUGGAAUUCCUGGUGUAGGGGUGAAAUGCGUAGAUAUCAGGAGGAACACCAGUGGCGAAGGCGACUUACUGGAAUGUAACUGACGCUGAGGCGCGAAAGCGUGGGGAGCAAACAGGAUUAGAUACCCCAGUAGUC
rnacentral:rRNA from 1 species